rnacentral:rRNA from 1 species
UGGGGGAUAUUGCACAAUGGGCGAAAGCCUGAUGCAGCGACGCCGCGUGGGGGAUGAAGGCUUUCGGGUUGUAAACCUCUUUCGCUAUCGAACAAGGCCCGCUUAGGGUGGGUGGAGGGUAGGUGGAGAAGAAGCGCCGGCUAACUACGUGCCAGCAGCCGCGGUAAUACGUAGGGCGCGAGCGUUGUCCGGAACUAUUGGGCGUAAAGGGUUUGUAGGCGGCUUGUUGCGCCUGCUGUGAAACCGCGGGGCUUAACUUCGGGCGUGCAGUGGGUACGGGCAAGCUUGAGUGUGGUAGGGGUGACUGGAAUGCCAGGUGUAGCGGUGGAAUGCGCAGAUAUCUGGAGGAACACCGAUGGCGAAGGCAGGUCACUGGGCCAUUACUGACGCUGAGGAGCGAAAGCAAGGGUAGCGAACAGG